GCAAGUCGAACGAACCUUCGGGUGAGUGGCGCACGGGUGCGUAACACGUGGGAAUUUACAUUUGGGUGAGGAAUAACGUAGAGAAAUUUACGCUAAUACCUCAUAAUGACUCCGGUCCAAAGAUUUAUCGCCCAAGGAUAAGCCCGCGCUAGAUUAGGUAGUUGGUGAGGUAAAGGCUCACCAAGACGAUGAUCAGUAGCUGGUCUGAGAGGAUGAUC
rnacentral:rRNA from 1 species